GUGAGGACACAGUGAGGGGCGCAGGGGCAGAGAGACGGGGACGGAGGAAGAGAGAGCCAGAGUUACAGAAAGGUGAGGGAGGGAGGGGGAGAGAGAGACAGAGAGAGAGAGAGAGAGAGAGGGUGACGAACAGGCAGAGAGGGAGAGGCUCUAGUCACACAGCUUCUUUUUCACAUCUGCUGCCAUCCCGGCGCAGGCGAACGCUGACGGGUGGCGUGUUAUCCGAGUAACGGUAACAGCGGCGGCAGCAUCACAAACGGAAGCAGGACCUCUCCUCUCCGCUCUGGCUCUUAGUCAUCCUCAGCGUCCUCUCUCCAUUCUCAGAGUGCUGUUAGGGCCAUUAAUCGUUCCCAUCUCAUGCCUCCUGCCUCCACCUCCUCCUCCUCCUCCACAGCUUCAUCCUCCACUUCUACUCCUCCUCUGAUGAGCCACAGCUUUAGAGUGAAAUAACCCUGCUGGUGCCAUGUGCGAUUGGCCAGCGCACCCCGUGGACGUGGCAUCGCCCUGGAUUUGGCGAGAAGCUCUCCCCGCUGCUUGUUCUCCAGCGCUCCUCCGGGAAGCAUUCGUGGGAUUUAUCUCUUUUCCUGCUGGAUGGCACUGAGCUCUCUGCCUCUCUGAGGAAAAAAGUCCAGAGAGAAGAUACACACUACACGGAGAAGAAGUAAAAUAAUUAUCCAAUCACAGCACAAGAAGGCAGACCAGGUUCCCUUAGCAACAACUGAAGGAGAGAAGAGAAUCCUUCUCUGUUUGUGCUCCCUUGGUUUUUGGGCACACCCCGGAGGACUGCUGUGGGUCAGUGUGUUCUGAGAGGACUUAGAGAGCGCCGUUGCAUAAGACAAGCUGCCACCCAAAUUCCAGGAAAAAAAGGUGCUCGCUUCUCCUUCCAGCCUCCUUUUUAAACUGUGUCUCAUCGACACCAUGAUUUUUUUGUUAUCCCUCCACAAAUUCUCAUCAGGGGUCACGUUUCGCCGGCUUGGAAAUCAAUUCAUCCUGAUCCCGAGCCACCUGGAAUAAGC
ensembl:lncRNA